AGCUUGAAUCUAGUUCGACUUUGUGAAAUGACUUGAGAGGUGUAGAAUAAGUUGGAGUUGUUUUCGGUGGAAGUGAAAUACCACUACUUUUAAUGUUAUGUUACUUAUUUUGUGGGGAAGAGAUGGGGCAUUGCCCCUGUUUUUGUCCUUAAGACACAUUUUGGUGGGUCAAUCUAGGCGAAAUACAUUGUUAGGUGGGGAGUUUGACUGGGGUAGCUUAUCUGUUAAAUGAUAAUGCAUGUUUCCUAAGAUCUGCACAUUUGGAAUUUUUUCACACAAAUGAUUGUUCUCAACUAUAGGAGCACUUUAUCCACAUUUUGAAGCCAUUCUUCCCAUGAAUUCCUAUAGAUAGGUAUAUCAUCAAAUAAAACAAAUACAAAAUUUAUAAGAUAAGGCUGAAAAAUGUUGUUCAUGAGGCUUUGGAAAAUGAAACGAGCAUUAGUAAACCUAAAAGGAAUCACCAAGAACUCACAGUCUCCCUCAAAAUUGUGAAAAUUUGAAAUUUA
rnacentral:ncRNA from 1 species